rnacentral:rRNA from 1 species
AAGGUUGCCGCGCCCAUAAGAGGGCGUACAGUGCACGCCUCCCGGGGGGGGCACACAAACACACACCUGUGCACCUAGCGGGACGCCUCCCAUCGAGAGCAGCUUGGCCAACCCGAAAGGGGGAAACCGGGCCGGGGCGUCCCCUCUUUUUGUUACAUCCCGUCGAACGCAUGUCUUACGGGGCUCUACGGAGCCAGAAGUUUUAAUACAACUUUCAACAACGGAUCUCUUGGCUUUCGCAUCGAUGAAGAACGCCGCGAAAGUGCGAAACGUAAUGUGAAUUGCAGAAUUCAGUGAAUCAUCGAAUCUUUGAACGCACCUUGCGCUCCUUGGCAUUCCGAGGAGCAUGCCUGUUUGAGUGUCGUGAAACACCUUCGAACCCCCCCCUCGGCCUUUCCCCGAGGGGGGUACGGAUUUGGACGUCUGCGGCCCCAGAGGCCGCUCGUCUCCAAACGCAUUCAGCUGGUCCCCAUCGAGUCGGUCCAACGAACGGUGUGAUAAAUAAACGCUUCGUUUGACUGUGGCGCCGCACGGGCCCGACUCCGUUCCCUUGGCUUUUGGCCAAGGGAACGCACGUGGGUGGCCGCUCACAGCCGUCCGCUUCUGUCGGACAAAUCGCGACGAUCUGACCUCAAAUCAGGUAGGAUUACCCGCCGAACUUAAGCAUAUCAAUAAGCGGAGGAAAAGAAACUAACAAGGAUUCCCCUAGUAACGGCGAGUGAAGCGGGAAGAGCUCAAAUUUGUAAUCUGGCGGC